UUUCAAUGGAGGAAGGUUGGUGAAUUGCUGGGGAGUGAUCCUUAACUUGAAAAUUUUGUCAGUCAAACUCUCCCACAAACUGAUUAGUUCUUACUGCAUAACCUGUGCAGGAGCUGUUAUCUGGUUUAUGCAGUGGAAAAAUGGAAUCUGCAGCAAAAAGAGUAUCUGCAGCAGAUAGCUUGUGUUUUUGGUGAGGUUGGG
rnacentral:misc_RNA from 1 species